rnacentral:tRNA from 1 species
GCUCAGUUGGUAGAGCACAAAGCUCUUAAUCUUGUGGACGUGGGUUCAAGCCCUAC